GUGCCAGCCGCCGCGGUAAUACAUGGGGUGCAAACGUUGCUCGGAAUUAUUGGGCGUAAGGCGCGCGUAGGUGGUUACCUAAGUCGGAUGUGAAAGCCCUCGGCUUAACUGAGGAAGUGCACCCGAAACUGGGUAGCUAGAGUACUAAAGAGGGUCGCGGAAUUCCCGGUGUAGAGGUGAAAUGCGUAGAUAUCGGGAGGAACACCAGUGGCGAAGGCGGCUUCCUGGCCUGUUCUUGACGCUGAGGCGCGAAAGCUAGGGGAGCAAACGGGAUUAGAUACCCUGGUAGUCC
rnacentral:rRNA from 1 species